GGCGAACGCUGGCGGCGUGCUUAACACAUGCAAGUCGAGCGAUGAAGCACCUUCGGGUGUGGAUUAGCGGCGAACGGGUGAGGAACACGUGAGGAAUCUGCCUUCCACUCUGGGAUAACUCCGGGAAACCGGGGCUAAUACCGGAUAUUUUCAACUGGCGGCAUCGCCGGUUGAAGAAAGUUUUUCGGUGGAAGAUGACCUCGCGGCCUAUCAGCUUGUUGGUGAGGUAAAGGCUCACCAAGGCGACGACGGGUAGCCGGUCUGAGAGGGUGACCGGCCACACUGGGACUGAGACACGGCCCAGACUCCUACGGGAGGCAGCAGUGGGGAAUAUUGGGCAAUGGAGGAAACUCUGACCCAGCGACGCCGCGUGAGGGAUGAAGGCCUUCGGGUUGUAAACCUCUUUCAGCAGGGAAUAAGCGAAAGUGAAGGUACCUGCAGAAGAAGCACCGGCUAACUAUGUGCCAGCCGCCGCCGUAA
rnacentral:rRNA from 1 species